UCCGCGCUCGACUCUCGCGUCUUCGCGGCUCUUGAGCAAGGUCCCCCUAGCCUGGGGCUCGCAGUGGCCCCCAGGGCUCACGCCGCCGGGCGGCCAACCCGCGGCGAGACACCCCCCCACCCCCGAAGCCGGGUCCAAUGGCGGCCGGGCGAGGCGGGACUUCCGUCAGGGUAGAGCGAAGGGGGCGGGCGCGCGGGGGGCUCUGGGGGCUCCGAGGGGGGAGUGUGAGCCGCUCGGCUCUCACAGAGGCUUCGCCUCCGGGCUGUGAGAGCGGGACGACCUUCGGGUCGUCUGCUCGCCCGCCCCGCGCCUCCCGCUGCCAGUGAGGUCACAGGGCUCGAAUCAGGGCUGAGUCGGGAACGAAAUCCAUCCCGCUCCUGGCUCCUGGCUGGAGUCCUGGGCUCCCACCCGCCUUCCUCGCAGCCGCUUGUUGCCACGCCUCUUCUAUAGUUUCUCCAUCUCCUCCACCCCACCCGCCUCAGGUCCUGUUUCUUCAGGGAGAUGAUGAGAAUUUCUGCCUCACGAGAUUGUUACGAGGGUGAAAUCUACGUGAUGGCGCGUUGGAAACGGUACUCCGCUAGGGAAAGGACCAGGGGGCCCUUGCAGGGCGGAGUGCUGCUGGGCGGCUGUGAAGGUCACGCCCCCUCCCUCUCCGCCCUCAUUGCUCAGAAGUGAGAGAGGGCCUUAAGUUCUGUGCAGCCGUCCUCGAAGCGAGGCUCCGCCUGUGUGAGUUCAGUGAAUUCCAGCUUCAAAAGGCGAGAUCUCAGUGGGGGCUAGCUCUGAAGCUGGGUCACCAUUUUCAGCUGGAAGGACCUAAAAUGUGCUUUUAAGAUGUGGCCGUAUCGCGUUAUUUUUGUCCAAACAGUUAAAUUCAACAAGUAUUUUCUAUUAUUUACUUUCUCUCUGCGUUGGACAGAAGGGUGAGGGAGUUUUUUCGCUGAAGGUUUUUUCCUGUUCUUGAGCCUUGGGACUAUUAAUGAAUGGCUGUAUCUGGUGAGGCUGAUAAAAUGACCCAUUUUAUAUCAAGAGGGAACCCUACUUUGAAGUUUAGCCUCUUCUGGCUGGAUGGCAUCACUGACUCGAUGGGCAUGAGUUUGAGUAGACUCCCGGAGCUGGUGAUGGACAGGGAGGCCUGGCAUGCUGCUAUUCAUGGGGUCGCAGAGAGUCGGACACGACUGAGCG